rnacentral:rRNA from 1 species
GAGUAACACGUGGGUAACCUGCCUGUAAGACUGGGAUAACUCCGGGAAACCGGGGCUAAUACCGGAUGCUUGUUUGAACCGCAUGGUUCAAACAUAAAAGGUGGCUUCGGCUACCACUUACAGAUGGACCCGCGGCGCAUUAGCUAGUUGGUGAGGUAAUGGCUCACCAAGGCAACGAUGCGUAGCCGACCUGAGAGGGUGAUCGGCCACACUGGGACUGAGACACGGCCCAGACUCCUACGGGAGGCAGCAGUAGGGAAUCUUCCGCAAUGGACGAAAGUCUGACGGAGCAACGCCGCGUGAGUGAUGAAGGUUUUCGGAUCGUAAAGCUCUGUUGUUAGGGAAGAACAAGUACCGUUCGAAUAGGGCGGUACCUUGACGGUACCUAACCAGAAAGCCACGGCUAACUACGUGCCAGCAGCCGCGGUAAUACGUAGGUGGCAAGCGUUGUCCGGAAUUAUUGGGCGUAAAGGGCUCGCAGGCGGUUUCUUAAGUCUGAUGUGAAAGCCCCCGGCUCAACCGGGGAGGGUCAUUGGAAACUGGGGAA